UACAGGGGGUGCAAACGUUGCUCGGAAUUAUUGGGCGUAAAGCGCGCGUAGGCGGCUACUUAAGUCGGAUGUGAAAGCCCCUGGCUCAACUGGGGAAGUGCACCCGAAACUGAGUGGCUUGAGUGCGAAAGAGGGUCGCGGAAUUCCCGGUGUAGAGGUGAAAUUCGUAGAUAUCGGGAGGAACACCGGUGGCGAAGGCGGCGACCUGGGACGAUACUGACGCUGAGGUGCGAAAGCGUGGGAGCAAACAGG
rnacentral:rRNA from 1 species